UGCCUCUCGCUAUCCUCUCCGCCGGCGCCCCCUUUCCCGGCGGUCCCCGGGAUGGUCUCCGGCACCCCGAGGUUACGGGAAGUUCGCGGACUGGCGGGAGAAGGGGUUGGGGGGUGGUCCGCGGCGAGGGGAGCGGGGUGCAUCUUCUCUUCCUUUUAUGGGCUGCCACACUUGUGUGUCCCUUCUUCCUUGAAUUUAACCAGGAGUGAGCAGUGGACAGCUUCUGCCCUAUGAGAAGGAGGCGAAGCAGGACCUGAAAUCCCGUGCUCAGCUCCCACAUCCCCCGUGUCCAGGACAAGUCCUUUGCUGAAUCAGCGGCAGACACCACCCGGAGCCCUUUGGGAGCCUUUCCCUGUUCUUCCAGCAUGGAUCUGAAACUCCCUUCCCACUUUCUGCAGCCUCCCAGAGAUAGUUCAGGCUCCAGCCUCAUGUGAUAGCAUGAAGAGAAACUGGUUCCAACAGCUGUGUGCUCUGCUG
rnacentral:lncRNA from 1 species